UUUAACCGCUUGAUGGCAGAAAUUAUUGAGAAAAAGAUGCGCAAGUUAUGUGGACGGCCGAGAAAAAGCAUAUGCGUAGCUUCAUGUGGAAACGGCGGACAGCAUCGAACGAACAGCAUCGGCGAACGCAACUGGAAACAUUAGCGGUUGAAGGAAUAUGUAGUGGUGGCUAAUGCAGCGAAACCAAAACGAUGAGUGUCUAGUUCUGCUCGGCCGUUGGAUGGAGAAGUGGGCUAGAAGAGAUAAGAGCUCAAUUUAUUUCGAUGACUUUGUUGGAAGUAUUGCCGAUCAAACUGGACAAACGAGCAUAUCUCAGCGCAAUCACCAGCAACAAACUUAAGAAUCCGGAGAAUACGUUUGUUAUGCUUAUCCAUGAUGAUUAAUCAAAUUUGGCAAUCUUCACUUGACGAACACACCCGAAUGGGCACGAUUUUUUUUUGUCAUUAAAUACAUUAACGACUUUGGCAUUAAGGGAUUAAACUUUGUUGUUCGCGACUUUAAGUGGAUGAGACCUGUAAUUUACAACGUAAAAUACAACGUUAAAUUACAGGCUAUGAAGGAAAUCAGAUACCACUGGAUUGCGGAUGUACUCUGGUUGACACCGCUGAACGUCCUAUUUGUACAAGCCGGGGAGAAAAUUAUUACAAUAUCCUUGAUAACGAACAGCAAAUUGGACUCGUAACACGGUACCGAAUCCGUUCCAAUUGUUGAUACUAAAUGCUUCGACUGUCGCUGUAGAACAAUUGUUUCGAUGGCGACGAUAGUUCCGACGAGGUAAUUUGUACCUGAUACAAAUGCUGGAAAUGACUUUGGCACAUUAGUAGUGAUCAACUAGCACCCGAGAUGUCGAGUUGUCCAGAUAUAUUCAUAAGUAUAUUGUCGAAGAUAUUUUCACUCAGGAUUCCAGAGCGGUAAUUACGUACAAACUCCAAAACUAUUUUAUUUUCUGUAUUUUCAA